rnacentral:rRNA from 1 species
ACGGGUGCGUAACACGUGGGAAUCUGCCCUUCGGUUCGGAAUAACAGUUAGAAAUGACUGCUAAUACCGGAUGAUGACGAAAGUCCAAAGAUUUAUCGCCGAAGGAUGAGCCCGCGUAGGAUUAGGUAGUUGGUGGGGUAAUGGCUCACCAAGCCGACGAUCCUUAGCUGGUCUGAGAGGAUGAUCAGCCACACUGGGACUGAGACACGGCCCAGACUCCUACGGGAGGCAGCAGUGGGGAAUAUUGGACAAUGGGCGAAAGCCUGAUCCAGCAAUGCCGCGUGAGUGAUGAAGGCCUUAGGGUUGUAAAGCUCUUUUACCAGGGAUGAUAAUGACAGUACCUGGAGAAUAAGCUCCGGCUAACUCCGUGCCAGCAGCCGCGGUAAUACGGAGGGAGCUAGCGUUGUUCGGAAUUACUGGGCGUAAAGCGCACGUAGGCGGCUACUCAAGUCGGGGGUGAAAGCCCGGGGCUCAACCCCGGAACUGCCCUCGAAACUAGGUGGCUAGAAUCUUGGAGAGGUCAGUGGAAUUCCGAGUGUAGAGGUGAAAUUCGUAGA